ACGGGCGGGUGGGCGCGGU
rnacentral:miRNA from 1 species